GAUGGUAUAGCUCAGGGGUAGAGUGUGUGCUUAGCAUGCAGGAGGUACUGGGUUCAAUCCCCAGUACCUCUG
rnacentral:tRNA from 1 species